AUUUAUGAAAUAAUUAAUACUCUUUGAAUGUGGAGCACGUUUUCACCUGGUUAUCGUCGAAGAUUAAAUUUAAAUUGAUUGCUGAGGAUACUAAAUUUAGAAGAGUGCAAUUCUCAAACCGUAUUAAAGAUGCUUUGUCAAGAAAUAAAGUAGUAAGGGAAAGAGUGUUUCCAGUUUGCUUUCCUUCAAAAAGUUCUUAUACUGGUCAUUUUACUAGAGAUGAUACUUAUUACUUAAGUAUAAAGACGUCCGAAACUUGUGUUGUUUAAAGAAUCUUAAUGUAA
rnacentral:lncRNA from 1 species